UACGGAGGAUGCAAGCGUUAUCCGGCAUGAUUGGGCGUAAAGCGUCCGCAGGUGGCUGUGUAAGUCUGCUGUCAAAGAGCGAAGCUCAACUUCGUAAAGGCAGUGGAAACUACACGGCUAGAGUGCGUUCGGGGCAGAGGGAAUUCCUGGUGUAGCGGUGAAAUGCGUAGAGAUCAGGAAGAACACCGGUGGCGAAGGCGCUCUGCUAGGCCGCAACUGACACUGAGGGACGAAAGCUAGGGGAGCGAAUGGG
rnacentral:rRNA from 1 species